UACGUAGGGUGCAAGCGUUGUCCGGAAUUAUUGGGCGUAAAGAGCUCGUAGGCGGUCUGUCGCGUCUGCUGUGAAAACUCAGGGCUUAACCCUGAGCUUGCAGUGGGUACGGGCAGACUAGAGUGCGGUAGGGGAGACUGGAAUUCCUGGUGUAGCGGUGAAAUGCGCAGAUAUCAGGAGGAACACCGGUGGCGAAGGCGGGUCUCUGGGCCGUAACUGACGCUGAGGAGCGGAAAGUGUGGGGAGCGAACAGG
rnacentral:rRNA from 1 species